rnacentral:rRNA from 1 species
GUGGCGAACGGGUGAGUAACGCGUGAGGAACCUGCCUCAAAGAGGGGGACAACAGUUGGAAACGACUGCUAAUACCGCAUAAGCCCACGGCUCGGCAUCGAGCAGAGGGAAAAGGAGUGAUCCGCUUUGAGAUGGCCUCGCGUCCGAUUAGCUAGUUGGUGAGGUAAUGGCCCACCAAGGCGACGAUCGGUAGCCGGACUGAGAGGUUGAACGGCCACAUUGGGACUGAGACACGGCCCAGACUCCUACGGGAGGCAGCAGUGGGGAAUAUUGCACAAUGGGGGAAACCCUGAUGCAGCGACGCCGCGUGGAGGAAGAAGGUCUUCGGAUUGUAAACUCCUGUUGUUGAGGAAGAUAAUGACGGUACUCAACAAGGAAGUGACGGCUAACUACGUGCCAGCAGCCGCGGUAAAACGUAGGUCACAAGCGUUGUCCGGAAUUACUGGGUGUAAAGGGAGCGCAGGCGGGAGAACAAGUUGGAAGUGAAAUCCAUGGGCUCAACCCAUGAACUGCUUUCAAAACUGUUUUUCUUGAGUAGUGCAGAGGUAGGCGGAAUUCCCGGUGUAGCGGUGGAAUGCGUAGAUAUCGGGAGGAACA